rnacentral:rRNA from 1 species
UACGGGGGGGGUAAGCGUUGUUCGGAAUUACUGGGCGUAAAGGGCUCGUAGGCGGCCAACUAAGUCGGACGUGAAAUCCCUCAGCUUAACUGGGGAACUGCGUCCGAUACUGGAUGGCUUGGAUUUGGGAGAGGGAUGCGGAAUUCCAGGUGUAGCGGUGAAAUGCGUAGAUAUCUGGAGGAACACCGGUGGUGAAGGCGGCAUCCUGGACCAAUAUUGACGCUGAGGAGCGAAAGCCAGGGGAGCAAACGGG